GCUCAAGUGGUCUAACGGUUAUGAUGCGACCUUCCCAU
rnacentral:tRNA from 1 species